rnacentral:rRNA from 1 species
GAUGAACGCUAGCGGCAGGCCUAGUACAUGCAAGUCGAACGAGAUUACGAGGCUUGCUUCUUAUGAAAGUGGCGCACGGGUGCGUAACGCGUAUGCAACCUACCUUAAUCAGGGGGAUAGCCCGAAGAAAUUCGGAUUAAGACCGCAUAAAAACACAGGAUAGCAUUAUCCAAUGUUCAAAUAUUUAUAGGAUUAAGAUGGGCAUGCGUGUCAUUAGCUAGUUGGCGGGGUAACGGCCCACCAAGGCGACGAUGACUAGGGGAUCUGAGAGGAUGACCCCCCACACUGGUACUGAGACACGGACCAGACUCCUACGGGAGGCAGCAGUAAGGAAUAUUGGUCAAUGGAGGGAACUCUGAACCAGCCAUGCCGCGUGCAGGAAGACAGCCCUCUGGGUCGUAAACUGCUUUUAUUCGGGAAUAAACCUUUCUACGUGUAGGAAGCUGAAUGUACCGAAGGAAUAAGGAUCGGCUAACUCCGUG